CGCCUUUUGUAAUAUAUAAAUAUAAAAGGUCCUGCCUGCCCAAUGACUUGUUUUAAUGGCCGCGGUAUUGUGACCGUGCAAAGGUAGCGUAAUCAUUUGUCUUUUAAAUAAAGACCAGUAUGAACGGCAAGACGAAAGCCUCACUGUCUCCCUAGCCUAAUCAAUGAAAUUGAUCUUCCCGUGCAGAAGCGGGAAUAUAAAUAUAAGACGAGAAGACCCUGUGGAGCUUUAAACUCCAGCUAACAACUACAAAUGCUUUAGUUCCAAGUUUUGGGUUGGGGCGACCAUGAGGUAUAAUACAACCCUCACGAUAUUAUC
rnacentral:rRNA from 1 species